rnacentral:rRNA from 1 species
UGCUGACAUAAGUAACGAUAAAGCGGGUGAAAAGCCCGCUCGCCGGAAGACCAAGGGUUCCUGUCCAACGUUAAUCGGGGCAGGGUGAGUCGACCCCUAAGGCGAGGCCGAAAGGCGUAGUCGAUGGGAAACAGGUUAAUAUUCCUGUACUUGGUGUUACUGCGAAGGGGGGACGGAGAAGGCUAUGUUGGCCGGGCGACGGUUGUCCCGGUUUAAGCGUGUAGGCUGGUUUUCCAGGCAAAUCCGGAAAAUCAAGGCUGAGGCGUGAUGACGAGGCACUACGGUGCUGAAGCAACAAAUGCCCUGCUUCCA